UACAGAGGUCUCAAGCGUUGUUCGGAUUCAUUGGGCGUAAAGGGUGUGUAGGUGGCGCGCUAAGUCGGGUGUGAAAUUUCGGAGCUUAACUCCGAAACUGCAUUCGAUACUGGCGUGCUUGAGGACUGGAGAGGAGACUGGAAUUUACGGUGUAGCGGUGAAAUGCGUAGAUAUCGUAAGGAAGACCAGUGGCGAAGGCGGGGUCUCUGGACAGUUCCUGACGCUGAGGCACGAAGGCCAGGGGAGCAAACGGGG
rnacentral:rRNA from 1 species